GUGUACAGGCAUACCACACUGAACAUGUCCAAUCUCUUCUGAUCUCUGAGGCUAAACACAGUUGGACCCAGUUAGUACUUGGAUGGGAGAAAAAAGGAAUUUAACACA
ensembl:rRNA 5S_rRNA 5S ribosomal RNA